GGGACUGAGACACGGCCCAGACUCCUACGGGAGGCAGCAGUAGGGAAUCUUCCACAAUGGACGAAAGUCUGAUGGAGCAACGCCGCGUGAGUGAUGAAGGCUUUAGGGUCGUAAAACUCUGUUGUUGGAGAAGUACGUGUGUGAGAGUAACUGCUCAUGCAGUGACGGUAUCCAACCAGAAAGCCACGGCUAACUACGUGCCAGCAGCCGCGGUAAUACGUAGGUGGCAAGCGUUAUCCGGAUUUAUUGGGCGUAAAGCGAGCGCAGGCGGUCUUUUAAGUCUAAUGUGAAAGCCUUCGGCUUAACCGAAGAAGUGCAUUGGAAACUGGAAGACUUGAGUGCAGAAGAGGACAGUGGAACUCCAUGUGUAGCGGUGAAAUGCGUAGAUAUAUGGAAGAACACCAGUGGCGAAGGCGGCUGUCUGGUCUGUAACUGACGCUGAGGCUCGAAAGCAUGGGUAGCGAACAGGAUUAGAUACCCUGGUAGUCCAUGCCGUAAACGAUGAAUGCUAAGUGUUGGAGGGUUUCCGCCCUUCAGUGCUGCAGCUAACGUAUUAAGCAUUCCGCCUG
rnacentral:rRNA from 1 species